CAGGCCUGAGCGCCUUAGGAGGGACCUCGGGCGGGAGUGGGCGGGGAAGUUGGGGAGGCAGGGACUCCCCAAAGAGGGAGGAAGUUGUGGCAGCGCCUGGGCGGCGACCAAACCAGAGAGGGGGAAAGAGGGAAGGGAAUCAAGGGGAGGGGCCAGCAAGGGAGGGGGGUCCGGAGACUCAGUCCCAGGGUGGGGGUGGGGGUGGGGGAAGUAGAAAGAAGGAAGGAAUGAGGGGAAGAGUUCUAAAGUCAAUGUCAACUCUGCUUCACUCCGCCAGGUCCUUAAAAAAAAAUGAAAGUACCAUCAAGCUAGCCAGAAGAAGAGAAUGACUCCAAAAUAUCUAUAAGCAAAGAGAAAAUCACAGCUUGGGUACAAAUUCAACUAGAAUUCCUAGAAGAAAAGAAGCAAAAAAAAUUUUUUUUAAGUUUAAAAUGUUUUUAUAAAUUAAAUGAAAGUGCUGAAGCAAUAGUAAUAAGAUGAGAAAUAAUUAAAGGAAUAAAUAUUCCUAAAGAAAACAUCAAAUAUUCUUAAUUGCUCAUGAUAUAUGUGUAGUUAGAACAUCCUAGGGAAUCAAUAAAAAUUCUUGACAAUAGCUUUAUCAACAUUGUAGCCUACAAAAUAAGCCUUCAAAAUUCAACUGCAUUUUUUACAUAAUAAUAACAAAAUCCAAGAGGCAAAAAUAGAGAAAUCUCAUUCCAAAUAACUAUGAAAUGCAGGAAUUUUCUGGAGAUCAAGCUACCGAAGCACUCAAAAUAUAUGUUUAUAUCCAAUUACAAAGUACUCCUUUAAAAAAUGAAGAACUUUAAGAGCUGAAGGAAUAUUCAAUGCCUGUAGCUGAGCUCUUCCAAUGUAAUCAAAAUGAAAAUGGUACCAAAAUUGUUCACAGUUUUAAUUCUAUAUAAAUCAAAACAUUAAAGGGAUGCUUUGCUGAACUUACUAAAAUAAUAAAAUUCAUUUGGAAAAAUGAAAGAUCUAAAACAUCGAGGGAAAUGGUGAAAAGUGGUAGAGAAGAAGUAAAAAAUGCACUGCCAAACCUCAAACUAUAUUAUAAAUCAGCAGUAACCAAAACCAUCUGGCAUUGGUUUAAAAAUAGAAAGGUAGAUCAAGGGAACAGACCAAAGAUAAGAGAGUAUCAGAAACAAUGUAACUCAGUAACCCAGUAUUAGAUCAACCAGAAAACAUAAAUUACUUAUGAAAGAACUCCCUUAUUUGAUAUUUUAAAAAUUGCAGGAAAACUGAAAAAAACAUCUUGCAGAAAUGAGGCGUAGGGGGCAGCUGGGUAGUAUAAACCUUAAAAUUUCUUAGACUUAUAAAUGUUGGAAAUUUCACCAUUGGGAAAUUUCAUACUUGAAAAAUUUCCUAUUGAUAGUGGGUCUUGGCUAUUGGAAUGUGAACCCCAUUGGCAUGGGAGGUUCCUCCUCCUCCCUUCUUAAGAUUACUUUAGGACAGAAACCUUUUGCUGAACAAUGGAAAGGACUUUGACCUAUGCUUAAGCACAGAACAGGAAUUUCUUUGAGUCAUGAUUGAUUUUAGAAUUGAUACAAUGGAGAUACUUGGAAUGACAGAAUCAGGUCUUGGAAAUUGCAAUCUCCACCCUACUCAGUCCUAACAGGAUUUAGGAAGGGCUGCAGCCUAGAUCAAAAUUUAAUUAUUCCAAUCUCUACCCUACUCAGGGUAACAGGAUUUAGGAAGGGCUGUAGCAAAAGAUCAAGAUUUAAUUAUUUGAGAAUAUGACCUUCAACAGACAUGUGCAAAGCCACAGACCUCUGGGCGGUCCUGGGUUAAGCUAGAGUCACCAUUGGCACAGGGAAAAUGAUGGACAGUGAUUGGUAGAUGUGAGAACUAUGGGGAGGGAACUUGGAUGGUUUCCUUAAAGAUAGAGGGGUCUGAGGACUGAGGGGGUGGUGGGAGAGUUUUGGCUCUGAGUGGUUGGAGAGGUGCUCUGAGAAGCUUGCUCUGAAGGAAGCUGGAGGUGGAGGCCCUGGAGACUGUUUCUCCAUUUUGGUCACAUGAGUAAUAGGGACUGAUCUCCUUUCUUUGCCCCAGCUAUCUAAGGGCUUGGGCCUUUUGGCCCAGCCUAAACAGAAGGGGUAUUUAAGCCCUAUUCCCUUCUCUCCCCUUUCUCUCUCCCUCUCUCUCUCUAUCUCUAAUUCCUUUCUUCCUCCUGUUUGUAAUUAAACUCCAUAAAAGUUUGACUGCUGACUUGAGUUUUCAUUUAGGAAUUACAUAGCUGAAUUCCUUGGCGACCUUAAAUUAAUAUAUAUCAGUCUUUUAAAGUGAUUUCCUUGUCACAGUGGAUUGAGAGCCAGGCCUAGACAUGGGAGGUCCUAGGUUCCAAUAUGGCCUCAGACAUUUCCUAGCUGUAUGGCCCUGGGCAAGUCACUUGACCCCCAUUGCCUAGUCCUUACCACUCUUCUGCCUUGGAGCCAAUACACAGUAUUGACUCCAAGAUGGAAAGUAAGGAUUAAAAAAAAAAAGAAAUGAGGCGUAAACCAACACCUUACAUUCUAAAUAUUUUCCACAAUAAUUCUAAAUGGGUAUACUAUUAAGUGGAUCAUACUAUUAAAUAAUUACAAAACAAGUAGACAAUAUUCCUUUCAAGAUAUGGAUAAGAGAUAUAUUCAUAACCAAAUAAGGCAUAGAAAUAAUUAUAGGAAACAAAAUAGAUAAUUUUGUUUACAUGGAACUGAAAACCUUCUGACAAGGUAUAUAACAAACAAGAUACAUAAACAAGUAACAGAUAUAUAUUCACAGAUAUAUAUCAUUAAAAAAAAACAUUCCCCAAUAGGUAAGUGGUCAAAGGAUAUAAACAAAUGGUUCAUAAAAAAAGAACAGCAAAUUAUAUGAAAGAAUGCACCAAAUCAUUUACAAUAAGAUAAAUGCAAAUCAAAACAACUCUGAGGUUUUACCUUAGACCCUGAAAAUUGGCAGAAAAGACAAAAUAUAGGUAUAAUCAAUGUUAGAGGGGUUAUGAGAAGAAAGGGACACUGGUGGGUUGUUAAUGGAAGUUUGAAUCAGUAUAAUCAUUUUGGAAAUCAGUUUGAAAUUAUUUGCAAGGAAUUUUCUGAAGUCAUUUUUCUGAAGAAAAAGUGAUUAAAAUGUCCAUAUUCUGUUACCUAGAGAUUCUAACACCCCAAGGAGUCAUUCAUAAGAAGAAAGUCCCUACACACAUUAAAAUAUUUAUAGCAGCACUUUUUGUGAUAACAAAGAAUAAAAAAAAUAAAGUAGAUCCCCACUUAUUGGGUAAAUCAUUAAACAAAUUAUAGUACAUGAAUGUGAUGGAAUAUUACUAUGCUGGAAGAAAUUAUGAAGGUAAUGAAUACAGAGAUGCCUGGGGAAAUCUUACAUGAACUGAUAGAGAUUAGAGUAAGCAGAACUGAGAAAAAAUGCUAUACAAUAGCUAUAAUAAUAUAAACAGAAAGAAUAACCACAACAACUAAAAGCAAAUAUUUCAAAAUUAUAAAGAACAUGCAUUGCUUGAAAUAAGAGAGAUGAGAAGACUCCAUCCCCACAAGUGUACAUAUUGCACAUAUAUUUAGACUUUUUCAAAGUGUAUAAUUAUUGUAAAAUCCUAGGUUUAAGAUUUUUAAAAGCAAUUUUAGGAAGAGAAAAUCACCAACACCUCAAAUCAAGAAAGUGGAUCUUUUGACGAAGAUGCCAUAAGGAUGCCUACAGAAACCACACACUAUAUCAAGAGAUCCAGAAUGAACUUUGGGACAUAAUGAACUGAAUGGAAAGGGGUUGAACCAAUCAUUUAUUCUGAAUGUAAACUCUUAUGCCAAAGGGAAGUGCCCCCAACUGACUUUUUGUCAAUGUGUUCCCUCUCUAUCUCAGGUCAUGGCCCUGAGGGGAGCUGGUGGGGUGGCCAAGCUGAGACCAUAGCUGUAUAAAAGAGGCUUUUUCUCUCUAUCUCUAUCCAAGUAACUAA